AUGAUCAUAACGUUUGCCAUAUUCGUUGUCAUGUUGCCAGGUCUUGUACAAAGUCAGAAAGUGGACCAGUCUCCACGGGACCUGAUAAGAAAGCUCACAGAAUCUGCUGUUCUCACUUGCUCACAUUCAGACCAAGGCUUUGAACUCAUCCUUUGGUAUAAACGAUCUGAUGAUAAGGGAUUAAUUUUUCUAGGUUAUCUCAAUAAUAAUUUUCCAAAUCCCGAAGAUGAGUUCAAACACAAAAUCGACCUAGCUGGAGAUGGCAGAAGUAGUGCCACACUAACAAUAAAAGAUCUGACAGAAGACAGCAGCGGAGUCUAUUACUGUGCAGCUCGGAGACACAGUGUGAUAAAUCCCCACAACCCAGCGCAAAAACAUCCUUAUCACAUAUUAAUAUCUGUAGUGUGCACUAAAAGAGGAGAUGCUGUUCACCUGCAACAAGCCACUAAACCUAUAUUUUACUGUGACAGUCACAAAACAAACCACUUCUCUGUCCUUCCAUGUUUAUAAGGCUUUUCUUUUAGUUACAAGGUCGACCAGUCUCCAGCUGAAGUAAUUAAGAGACGAGGAGAAUCUGCAGAGAUCCGGUGUUCACACAGUGUGCCCAGUUACAAUCAAAUCAGCUUGUACAGGCAAAACCAGGACCAAGGGUUCACACUCAUGGGAUAUUUGUAUGCAACAUCAAACAUCAGUGAAAAAGAAUUCAUGGAUAAAAUAGUCAUGUCUGGGAAUGGAGACAGCAAAGGUCUUUUUACUAUCAAAAACCUUGCAUCUAGUGACAGUGCAGUGUAUUUUUGUGCUGCGUGUUACACAAUGUUUUAAUCCCUGACGUUCAUUACAAAAACUUCUCUUUAAUGCUGUGAUUAACAGAUAAAACAAAAUGAAAUAAAGACUUCAUUCACACCUGCUCCUGUGGUUUAUAUUUGAGACUUAUCUGUGAGAGUUUUCAAUGAGAAACACAUCAUAUACGCAUACACGUAAGUGAGAAAAUGUGAAUUAUUGGGUUCAGCUAAAGUGGUUUAGUUUUUAUACAGUAAUUAAGACAAAAGUUCACAAACAGUAGAUGUAUCAUGUCUGUAUGUUACUUUCUAAUAUAACAGGUAUGUCUGUGGAUAUCGAAGGCCAGAUGGAGG
rnacentral:lncRNA from 12 species